UACUGACCAUGCAGUGGUGAGAUUACAGAACUCAAUAUGGAUAUGACAAGACUGAAAACAAGAUGUGGGUCUUCUCCAGGAAGUGAAGGUCUACAAGUGAUCUAGGUUUUGUACCCUUCCUGAAGAUGCCAAAUACACUGAAGAAUAGAUACUGCUCCUUAAACUCUAGGACAACCUGCUCCUUGGCAGAAUCCAGAGGAAGAGAGUCAUAGGGACUGUUUAUUUUUGUUUUAUUCUAAGAUAUAGUAAUUACUUGGCUUCCUUUUAUAAGACACCUGCAUAUGUUGUGCUGCAUUACCGAUCCAAAACUUAGCUUUUUAAUGUGGUUGCUCUUGCCUACUUAUAUUUCUAUUUCUCUGGGCAUGUGUAUACAUUAUUAUGUAUUUUUUUUCUCUAUUGAAUGUUUUCCCACUAGUUUCUCUGCUUUUACUUUUCCAGAGCUGAAUAACCAAAGUUUAUAUAGUCUAGAAGAAUAGAUUUCUAAGUUAGAGCUUACUUCAUAAUACUUUGCUGUCUUUUUUUUUUUUUUUUUUUUUUCUCCACAUUUGGGAAUGCCUCAAAGUCUAUGUGCCAAACAUCGUAUAAAUAGGAGUAGUCAUGAUGGUGCCCUAAGCAUCUUACAGUUUAAUUAAAGACCGGAAAACAAGAGCUAAUUGUAAAACAACCGGAGAGUCUGAGGGCAAUUGUAAAAAUGUCAUGUAUUUAAAUACACUCAAUGUACACAGUUUGUGCACAGCUCAAAAUCAGAAGUCUAAUGGCUUUGACACAUGCUUUCCAUGAAGUCAUGUGGUACCCUAACAUUUUCUGUCUUCUGUGCAUCUCUUUGCCACUCAUGGUGAAGCUGUUCAUCUGUACAAUGCUCUGUCCCUCCUGUGUUCUCCUACCACUCUGCUACCUGGAAAUGUCAGGAUCCACGUGGUACUACUAUCCAGAUAGUAUGGUGGCAUAGAAGAGAUGUACCAUCUGCAGUCAGAAGAGAAUCUCCCAAGGUGUUCACCCCUCCUCAGGUCUGUUCUUUGGAGCAAAAAAGUAUUCUUAGCUUAUAUAUUCUGAGCUGUUCCCAUCCAUAUUAUCUCUUUUGUGUGUGUAGCCUUGCUGUGAGAGCCUUGUAACCUUUCAUGUGAGGUUUAUACUUUGAGGGAGGUGACUGUUGUCAUACAUCCUUUGCAGAUGAGUAGGCAGAAGUCCUCAUGCUGAAGAUGCCCUAGCAUGUCAUCCCUGCAGUGCAUUCUGCAGCACUGCAAAGGCAUGGCAGUCUUCCAACAAGUUAGCACUCCUCUUCGCUCAGCUGCUGCCCUUGAAGGUGCUGCAGAGAUCUCCCCUCUCAUCUGCUUGGAAGAGAUAUCAAAACUUCUGAGGCUGAAGCAUCUGCUGCUGCCCUACUAUCAGUCUUAAUCUGGCCAGAUAGGAUUAAAAACAGAAGGUGUCACUAUUUCAGCAAGAGAUUAGUGCCUACAUGAGGAGCACAGAGAGUAGUGGGGGAGAAGAAGGCAAGACAGAAGGAAUACAGUUUAGAGAGGAAAAGAAUUUGAAAGGCUACAUGAGGCAGUUCAUUGGUGGUGCCAAUCUCUAAGGCAGUGUUUGCCUCAGUGCUCACACUGCUCUUCACAAAGAUCUGUUUCACAACGACCUUCCAGGCGAGGAAGUCCCCUCCCAUCCAUAAAGAUGCUCCAGCUGAAGGUCACCAGAGAGUGAUGCCUGCUGUGUGCACUUCCUUCAUUGGAAUGAGCACGUUUGCCUGCCCCAGGACAAGAACAAUAGAGGCAUCCAGGCUCGGAUGGAUGCCUGUAGGGUGGUGAGCAGGCUAAUAUGGAGCACUGGGCUGGGCUUUGCCUCUCCAUUAUCUCUUGAAAGGAUGCUCUGCACUGAAGCUAGGGAAGGGAAAUAAAUAUGAAAGCCUUGACAAAUGAUUUUAUUUUAUUUUAUUUUAUUUUAUUUUUUAUGUUCCCAUUUAAAGACAGGCCUUUAUAUCUCAGCAGCAGUUUUCCUUCCAAGGAAAUUUAUAUUUGAUCACUUCUCUGACCUCUUUUUUUUAAUUAGUUUCAGAUACUUAUUGUGUCUUUAGUGGUUCUUUCCCUGAGGUAGUGAUGGUAUUUGUUUUUCUAAAUUGCAUUGAGACUGAUUUCAAAUGCGUCAUAUUUUCCAUUGUCAUGUGGUACUUUCCCUCUAAAGAUCCAUCCUUUCAUUCUCAAUGAAAACAAAUUUAUGCAUUUUGAUAUAUACAAAAAAUAGGUAUAUAUAUAUUAUAUGAAAAAUAUUUCUCCCCUGAGCAAUUGCUCAGAUUGUAAUAGAGAAAAUGUUUAAAGAAAAUAAAUUAGUAUUGUCCUUAGAAAUGUGUUCCUCCUCACCAUUUUAAGAGUUGACUGAAUUCUGUAGUGUUUAUUUCAAUAAUAACUGCAAGAUAUAUACAGGCCAUUACAUAAAUCCUCUUGCUUUCAUUUGUAAUCAAGAUGUUUUUAAUUCUCUCAUCUGUUUAAUGAACAUUUAUGACUCUUCUAGCAUAUUGUUCCCCUUCCUCAUGUGCAAAGAAGAUGUCCAUAAAUUAAGUCUUAGAGACUAACCUACUGAAUUUAAAGGUUUCUCCAGUUCUUUGUGAAAACCAAUUACCUAAAAUUUCUAAAUAAAAUAGUUUACAACAUAUUUUUAGGGUAUUCCAUUUUAAAGUAAAAGUUAUUUAAACUAUUUAUUUGCAGAAGUGCUUAUAACUAAUACAAGGAAUCAGAAAAAAAAAAUGAUUAUCAUAAAACAAGAGUUGUCUAUACAUACAGGUCAUGAUGUAAAAUCACAUGAUUGCACUGCAGCUGCUGGAAUUCCAUAAUGAAGCAGGUCUUCAGUGAGUAUUUCCCUAUCACUUUGAUCAAAGGACCUAAUGACAAAAGUUUUGUAGAGGUUUCUCUCAGUAUAUCAUGGCUGAUUUUAUUUUUUUGUUUUGGCUAACAAAAAA